UGGCCCAUCGGGGCUUCGGAUACCUGCUUUUAUUUUU
ensembl:misc_RNA